rnacentral:rRNA from 1 species
AGAGCGAACGCUGGCGGCAGGCCUAAUACAUGCAAGUCGAACGCACCUUCGGGUGAGUGGCGGACGGGUGAGUAACACGUGGGAACGUGCCUUUUGGUUCGGAAUAAUCCGGGGAAACCUGGCCUAAUACCGGAUGUGCCCUUCGGGGGAAAGAUUUAUCGCCAUUAGAGCGGCCCGCGUCUGAUUAGCUUGUUGGUGGGGUAAUGGCCCACCAAGGCUACGAUCAGUAGCUGGUCUGAGAGGAUGAUCAGCCACACUGGGACUGAGACACGGCCCAGACUCCUACGGGAGGCAGCAGUAGGGAAUCUUGCGCAAUGGGCGAAAGCCUGACGCAGCCAUGCCGCGUGAAUGAUGAAGGUCUUAGGAUUAGUAAAUUCUUUCAGCGGGGAAGAUAAUGACUGUACCCGCAGAAGAAGCUCCGGCUAACUUCGUGCCAGCAGCCGC